rnacentral:tRNA from 1 species
GGUUCCGUAGCUCAGCUUGGCUAGAGCGCCGCUCUGAUAAGGCGGAGGUCCAGAGUUCGAAUCUCUGCGGGACCA